rnacentral:lncRNA from 1 species
CAUGGGCUGGGUUGGCACUUCUGCUCAUGGGCACAUCCCCUCCCUGCAGGAAGGGUCCCUGGGAAGUCCAAUGAAAGUCAGUGGCUAAGUGAGCUCAAAAUCCAAUGAGUGGAGCAUUGGCUGAUGGGGAUGAUAUUAACCACAGAGGCAUCGCACUGUAAAACUUGAUGCCUCUGAUGUACCCAUCUCCCUGAAUGGACAGACCUUCAGCACA